CGGCCGGGGGCGCUACCUCUCAGAGAAGCUUUUCACCAGCAGCCACACGAUGAGCGGCAAGUUCUCUCGCUCGUUGUAGAUCCCCGUGGUUUCACUGCGCCCACCUGGAUAACCCAAAGACACUUUUCCUUUCUCAAUAUGUGCAACUGAAUCCCACCUGCAAAGUCUCAAUCUACCAUGGACAGUAACACAGUCACAGGCGCCAGAGAUUUGGACGUGAUAUUUUUGGGGGCUGUUACCCUGCUGAUACCCGAGGAUGAGGGUAGGGCAGUAGAAGAAAAGUGAAAAGUAGACAGAAUGGAGAUGCAUCUUGGAGUGUACUGGAUCCCAUUGCUGAUACGAUUAGGAGAUAACAGAGAAACGCCAAUCGAGAGGUGCCAAGCCCAUUCCUUAAAGAGGAUCAUGCAGACUCCUGAGGCCACAAGCGAUCUCCUCCCCAGAGCCAUCCCACUCCACAGUGUGUAUUCUUGUAUUCCUACAGAUGGGGCCAGCCACUCUGCACACUGAACCCCAAAGUAAUGCUCAGACUGCCGACAGUAACCUGAGGGAGUGAUUAAUGGUUCCUAAAAUUGGAGACUAUUAAAAAAACAAAAAUUCUAUACAGCAAGGUACAAAAAUCCUAACUACACCAAUCGAUUAAUUUUCCCAAGUGCACACAGUUCAAUCAUCAACUCCUUCCCAGACCGAAAAACAGAAUGUCAGGGGAUGUGGGAGCCACCCCCUUCUCCUGGGAGGCCCUGUAAGCUCUGAACAUGGGGUUGAAUGAAGGCUGCUAGAACAGAAAUGA